GGAAGCGUGUGUGGGAUGGCACAACUAAGCAUUGAUCGUUACGUAGAUCAUCACUAUGUAGCAGAUCUGCUCAGUUUGUGUUAUCAUUAAUUAUCGAGCUUUCAGAUCAUCCGAUAAGCUUCUUGAUUUUCCAGACUCCCGAUUGCGCAUAUGCAACUUUGUUUUAAAAUCACAGAUUUGCAUGCCUGCACGGUUGAGUCAUUCCUCAAAGUACCGCGAUUUCCAAAUUUGGGGGGUAAUCGAUUUGGUCAGAGGUAAUUUGUCGCUUCCACAUGCAGGCACUGCUGAUGGCGGUACGCCAUCUUUUUUG
rnacentral:snRNA from 1 species